rnacentral:tRNA from 2 species
UGCCUUGAUCCACUUGGCUACAUCCGCC